rnacentral:rRNA from 1 species
AUACGUAGGUGGCAAGCGUUGUCCGGAUUUACUGGGUGUAAAGGGCGUGUUGGCGGAGAUGCAAGUCAGGAGUGAAAUCUAGGGGCUCAACCCCUAACCUGCUUUUGAAACUGUAUCCCUUGAGUAUCGGAGAGGCAGGCGGAAUUCCUAGUGUAGCGGGGAAAUGCGGAGAUAUUAGGAGGAACAACAGUGGCGAAGGCGGUUUGCUGGCUGCAUACUGACGCUGAAGCGCGAAAGCCAGGGGAGCGAACGGGAUUAGAUACCCCGGUAGUCCUGGCAGUAAACGAUGUAUGCUGGGUGUGAGACUAGCGAUAGUUUCGUGCCGAAGUUAACGCGAUAAGCAUACCGCCUGGGGAGUACGGUCGCAAGAUUGAAACUCAAAUGAAUUGACGGGU